CCCUCCUUCCCAGAGCCCUCGCCCCAGACUCAAAACCUCAAACUUGACCCGAGGAAGAGGGGCCUUGGGGAAUGCCUGGUCAAGGCCGUGAUGUCUGCGUGCACGGGCCUGGGGUGGGGGUGGGAGGUGCCUUUGUAGGGAGGAGGGCGGGCGGCAGGGUCAGAGCCACCUGCUUGGUCUCCCCGGUUCCCUAGGCCAAACUGAAUCAACUCCGGGCCUCCUUCCCCUCCCCCUCUGUGGCGCUAAGGGCUGGGAGGAGGAGAGUUCAAGGACCGCGGGACCCAGCCUGAGAUUCAGCGGGACCGGGGUCCCCACCGGGCUGAACCUGGAAACCCACCAGGAACAGAAAAAAGGCGCAGAUCCCUAGGCAUCAGGUUCUCCGGGUCCCGGUGCACAGACCUCAGGGGAGAGCAAACCUGGCUGCCCCCACCUCACCUCUAGCCCCACACCCGCAUAUUUACAGACAAGACAGCUGGACCAUGACAGGGAAAGACACGCCCCCCCAGGGAACUUGUGAGCACCCCCAGGCAGAGGUUCCUGUUUGCUCCACGCGCGUCCUGCUGCUCGGUAGGACAUUUGUCUCAAGAAAGUCAGAGGACCACCAUCAGGAAGCAGCCGCUCCUGGGCCUUGCAGCCAGCUGUCUACGGGGUGUUUACCGUAUAAAUCAGUUGUUCUGAGAGGAGCCUGAGAAUUCAGUUUUUAAUCAUCACUCCAGGAGAGUCUUACGAUGCAGCAGGUUUGAUAAACACUGGUCUGUUUUUGAUAAAUAGCCAAUCCCAUGUCCCUUCUUAGGAAAUACUGUAUUUUUCUGUUUAUAAAAUGCCAUGUUGUAAGAUGUUCCCCAAUUUUACAAGGAUAGCUUUCUUUCAGAAUAAUAAUACAAAAAGCUAACAUUUACACAGUGGUAAGAUUUUUCCCAGGCACUCUUCUGGUUCCUUUAUGGCUGUUAACAGAUUAAGACAGACAGCAACCACAUGACCACGUAAGUUGGUAUCGUCUAAUUUUACAUAUGUAGAAACUGAGUCACCAAGAGGGCCAGUGCCUCGCCCAAGGUCACAUGGAUGGCAAAGAAUUUCCGGGAUUCAAGCCCAGACAAUUUGGCUCCAGAAUCAGAUUUAUCAGCCUCUGUCGCUCAAGAAAAAAAAUCAAGUACUUUUCAUUAUAUGUUUAUUGAAAGUGAUGUUAAAGUGGUUUUGCAGGAGAAAACAUUAUUUUGUUCAUGUAAAUACAUUGUACUGCGUUCUGAAAUUUAUCAGGAAACGGUACAUCCAAACUACGUAUCAGUAUUUGGCUAAAUGUUUCAUUUGAGAUACAAGCACAUUGAAGAUGUGGGGUACGCUGCAGAGAGGGGGUGCAUCCGAUCCGACAGCCCAGCAAACCACGUCUGAUGUGCAGUCACACCGAAUGCUCACCACGAGGGGUGCCACAAUAACGUGGGUGGGAGGCAGUGACCGUGGAAGAAGCAAAGCCACUCCGGGGCAGCCGUGCUUGAGAAUGCACACGUGCACACUGCCCACGCACCCCUCCCUCCGCCACAAAGCCCCAGCCUCCAGGGGUGUCCCUAGACAGGCAGACAGCCCUCCAGGAGCCCUGAGCGGGUCUGAGGGCCAGAGUGCCCUUUGCCGGUACAGAACAAGCCCACCGGGUCUCACAGGUGUCCUGUGGGACGGCAUCGACGGGUCCCGGGGGAGUGGUGUGAACCAGACCUUGAGGGGACACUGUUGGCACAGGCGACAGGAAGACGGGGGCCGUGGAAUGUAAACUAACACCAGUUUAGGGAAAUGCCAGGCUCUGUAAUGUCAAAGAAGUCACACUGUGCCGAGAGCUCGGCCUUGAGACAGCACUCAGAUCUGAACAGAAUUCCCUCCAAGCUGGGCCACAAGUUGGGUCCCAGACUGGGCUCCAAGCUGAAGUUUGGCACACCCCAAAGUGGGUCUCUCGCAUCUCACGGAGAGAAGGGUGUUUCUCUUUUGCAAUCGAGCCUCUGUUUCCCAUCUCGGGCAUCAGUCAGGACAGGCCGGGUUCUGCUGCAGUAACAAGCAAUCCUCAAGUCUCACGUGCCGCGACGAUGCGAGGCCACUUCUCACACACGCCACGUGUCCCCGACCAGACGCCACGGGACCAGCCUUCAGAGAGCAGCUCGAAUGUCCCGACGGCUGUGCCAAAGAGCGAGGGAGAGCCUAGGAGGGCCUCGUACUGGCCGUUAAGUGCCCAGCCUAGACGUGGCACCUGCCACUUCCACUCUCACGUACUGGCUGGAAAGUAUCACGCAAACUCCGCAGGCAGAACAGCGGGGGUAGGAGUGGACUUCCGUGUACUUUGGUGAAAACGCCAUGAUCUGCACAGCAACCCUCCAACCAAUCAGGAGUUGGCUCCAAACUCACCCCGACUCCCAGAUACCAGGCUGUGCAGGGUAGUGAGGCAUGACCUCUAUCACAUCAGAAUUCAGGGGCGCCUGGGGGGCUCAGUUGGACAAGCGUCCGACUCCGGCUCAGGUCAUGAUCUCGCGGUUCGUGGGUUCGAGCCCCACGUCGGGCUCUGUGCUGACAGCUCAGGGCUUGCAGCCUGCUUGGGAUUCUCUCUCCCUUUCUCUCUGCCCCUCCCCCUACAGUCUCUCUCCCUCUCUCUCUCUCUCUCUC